rnacentral:tRNA from 1 species
GCUCCCUUAGCUCAGUGGAUCAGAGCGUUCGCCUCCGGAGCGAAAGGUCGUGGGUUCGAGCCCCACAGGGAGCACCA